UGCGUAGGUGGUCCGUUAAGUUCCUUGUGAAAUCCCCGGGCUCAACCCGGGAAUGGCUUGGAAUACUGGCGGACUUGAGGCCUGUAGGGGUCACUGGAACUGACGGUGGAGCGGUGAAAUGCGUAGAUAUCGUCAGGAACGCCUGUGGUGAAGACGGGUGACUGGGCAGGUUCUGACACUGAGGCACGAAAGCGUGGGGAGCGAACGGGAUUAGAUACCCCGGUAGUCCACGCCCUAAACGAUGCAGACUAGAUUGCAGCGGGUCUUACCCCGUUGCGGUCGGAGAAAAUUGUUAAGUCUGCCACCUGGGAGUACGGUCGCAAGGCUAAA
rnacentral:rRNA from 1 species